UUUUUUUUUUUUUUUUUUUUUGUCUUUUUGUCUUUUUAGGACCACACCUAUGGCAUAUGGAGGUUUCCACACUAGGCGUCUAAUCGGAGCUUCAACUGCCAGCCUACACCACAGUCACAGCAACGCCAGAUCCAAGCCGCAUGUGCAACCUACACCACAGCUCAUGGCAGUAGCCAAUCCUCAACCCACUGAGCGAGGCCAGGGAUCAAACCUGCAACCUCAAGGUUCCUAGUCGGAUUUGUUUUCACGGCGCCACAAUGGGAACUCCAUCCAUCCUUCUUAAAUUCUUCCAAAAGACUGAAGAAGGAACACACCCAAAGACAUUCUAUGAAGCCACCGUGACCCUACCAAAACCAAAGCUACUACUACAAAAACAAAAAAAACAAAAAAACAAUAUCUUAUGAAUAUAAGAUGCAAAAAUUCUCAACAAAAUUUUAGCCAACCAACUAUAACAACACAUAAAAAAGAUCAUACACCACGACCAAGCGGGACUCAUCAUACGUUCAUAAGGAUGGUUCAACAUAUGCACAUCAACCAACGCGUACACACUGACAAAGGAGAGCUCAAAAUCCACAUCAUCUCAGUAGACACAAAACCGCAAAUCCAUUCACGAUAAAAACUCUUACUAACAUGGGCACGGAGGAAACAUCUCAACAUGAUAAAAGCCAUGUAUGACAAACCCACAGCAACUAUAAUACUCAGAGAAAAGCUGAAAGCCUUCUUGCUAAAAUCUGGAACAAGACAAGGAUGCCCAAUUUUUACUCAACACAGUAUUGGAAGUCCAAGGCACAGCAAUCAAACAAAAGAAAUAAAAGGUAUCCAAAUUCGGCAGAGAAGAGGUGCAAGUGUCACUGUAUGCAGAUAACAUGAUACUAUAUAUUAGAGAACCCUAAGGACUCCACACAAAAACUACUUGAUCUGAUCAACGAAUUCAGCAAAGUAGCAGGAUAAAGAUUAACAUUCAGAAACGGGUUGCAUUACUGUAUACUAAGAAUGAAAUAUUAGAAAACAAAUAUAAAAAAUACCCUUUAAAAUCGCACCAAAAUAAAAAAAACACCUAGGAAUAAACCUGACCCAGGAGGUGAAAGACUUAUAUGCUGAGAACUAUAAAACAUUAAUCAAGGAAAUUAAAGACGAUUCAAAGAAAUGGAAUGAUAUGCCAUGCUCCUGGACUGGAAUAAUUUAUAUUGUUAAAAUGGCCAUACCGGAGUUCCCUUUGUGGCAUGGUGGAAACGAAUCUGACUAGUAUCCAUGAGGAUGCAGGUUCGAUCCCUGGACUUGAUCAGUGGGUUAAGGAUCCAGUGUUGCCAUGAGCUGGGAACUCCAAUACAAACGUUUUUCCAAAUCUGCACAGUGGAACAUGAGUCUGCUAUAAAAACAAUGACGUAUCUGUACAUGCAACGUGGAUAAUCUAAAAAUCAUCACGAUACAUUUCCAAAAGCCAGGAAAAAUGACUCCAUUUAAUCAAUGUAAAUUUUACUUUCAGGUGAGAUUAUAAGAGACGCAACCCAGUUGAUAAUGAGAAAACAGAGUUAGAGGAUGGCGGGCAAAGGGAGGGACCGGAGAGAGGGAUCCGGCGGGAGCACGGAGACACCUCGAGGGGGGGAGUCGUCGCUCCUCGGAUGCUGAUGAAGCCGCGGGGCUGCAGACAGCGAAACUCAGCAAGUGUCCACCUCACACAGCAGCGUCCUUAGCGUGGCCGUUAAAACGCAACACAGCUGUUAGGAAAAAAUAACUGCACGGCGACGUUACUUGUCUUUCUAGUGUAGUAGGAAUUUCCUCAAUAUGCAUCUCUUCACUUGGAAUAAAAUAAAAUAGCCCCAACCAAAAACCCAGCAUGGUACUGGCCAAAGAACAGGCACGCAGAUCAACGCAACAGAAGAGAGAGCCCCGAAAUAACCCCAGGCAUCUGUGACAAAGGAGGCGAGAACACAGCAUGGAGAGAAGACGGUCCCCUCAGUAAGAGGUGCUGGGACCACUGGACAGCCACCUGUCAAAGAACGAAACUGAAACACUGACACCACGCACAAAACACACCCCAAAUGGAUUAAAGACCGAAGCAGAAGACGGAAAGCACAAAACUCCCAGAAGAAAACGCCGGCAGAACACCCUGUGACGUACAUCACAGCAUUACUUCUCUUGGAUGUGCUUCCUUAGACAAAGGAAACAAAAGCAACACUAAAUAAAUGGGACCUAAUUAAACUUAAAACCUUUUACACAGCAAAGGACACCAUCAACUGAAUGAAAGGACAAUCUACUGAAUAGAAGAAGGUAUCUGCAAAUGUUAUGACCCAUAAGGGUUACUAUCCAAAGUUCAUAAACAGCUUAUACAACCCAGGAUAAAAAAAAAAAACACGGGGAGUUCCCAUCGUGGCGAAGCGGAAACGAACCCAACUAGGAACCAUGAAUUGUGGGUUUGAUCUCUGGCCUCGCUCAGUGGGUCAAGGAGCCCGCAUUGCUGUGAGCUGUGGUGUAGGGCGCAGACACGGCUCAGGUCUGGUGUUGCUGGGGCUGUGGUGUAGGCCAGCAGCUGUAGCUGUGAUCAGACCCCUCGCCUGGGAACUUCCACAUGCCAUGGGUGCAGCUCCCAAAGGACAAAAAGACAAAAUAAAUAAAAGAUAGUGGGUCCAAGUCCCCUCCUGAGCCAGGGAUUGUGAGCUCCAGGCUGAGGGGUGGGUGAGUUCAGGUCCCAAUUUGAGUUCUGGUUGGAUUCAAGCCCCACCUGAGAAGGAGUGGGGUUUCACAACUACUAGCAGAAUAUUCUCCACGACAGACCACCUGUUGAGCCACAAAAUAAAUCUUAACAAAUUUAAGAAGACUGAGAUCAUUAAAAUAUACAUACACACGUUGGCAUCGAACCUGAGCGGACAUGUUUCCAAAGAGGAAAUGCAGGUGACCCACAGGCCCGGGAAAGGAUGUGUCACACCCACAAUCAGAGAAACCAAGUCAAAACCACGGGAGCCAUCACCUCGUACCUGUCACAACAGCUCAUCGAAAAGAGCAAAUACCAAAUGCUGGUGAGGCUGUGGACAAAAGGGACCCCGGGCACUGCUGGCGGGAGGGAAACUGGUGCAGCCGCUGUGGAAAUGGUGUGGACGGUCCUCAAAAACCAACAACGCAACUACCGCAAGACCCAGCAACUCCGUUCCUAUGUACUGACCCGGAAGAAAGGAGAACUCGAACUCAAAGGACGCACGCAUCUCAGUGUUCUCGGCAGCACUCUUCACAAGUGACCAGGGUACGGAAGACCCCAAGAGUCCAUCAACAGACAAAUGGACCAAGAGUCAGUGUGUGUGUCCACACACACGUACGUACAAUGGCACAUGAGCCACAAAGAAGAAAUACUGCCACUUGCAGCUCUGUGGACAGACCUGGAGCCUACUACGCUCAGUGAAAUAACUCCGGAGAAGUACGAAGAAUCUAUGUCAUCGCUUCUACGUGGCGUCUCAAGAAGUAAAACAAAGGAAUAAAUACAGCAAGAGAGAAACAGACUCACUGAGAACAAACCAGGGGUCACCACUGGGGAGGGGGAGGGGCACGAUAUGGGUGGGGAUUAAGAGACACAAACUAUCAGGUAUAAAAUAAAUAAGCUACAAGGCUACACUGUACAGCGCAGGGGACAUAGCCAGUAUUUUACAGUAACUUUUUUGCUUUUAUCUUUUUUUUUUGGCAUAAGGAGUUUCCCGAUCAAAUCCAAGCCACGGUCACAGCCUGCGACAACACUAGAUCCUGUCACCCACUGUGCUGGGCCAGGGAUCUAGCCUGUGUCCUGGUGCUGCAGAGACAUCACCUGUCCCAUUGCGCCACAGUGGAAACUCCCAUAAUAACUUUAAGUGGAGCAGAAUCUGCAAAAAUAGUGCAUCGCUGUUGUACAUCUGAAACCAACAUUGUAAAUCAACUCUGUUACAAUAAAAAUUUUAAAAAGCUUUUGAAACAGUAGAGGCGCAUCACAGAAAACUCCAAAGACACAGAGAGUGCAACGUCCAUCUCCUCCCCUUCGCUCUCCCCGGCCUCCCAACUCCGAGGCACCCUAAUGACCGAGUCCCAAGGAUGCCCAAGGUGUGUCUGCCCGUACUCGUGUGCAGCAUCCCCUAGUCUACCUGUGAGCCAGGGAACAGGUCCCUUCCAUCACGGAGCAGCAAGCUCCACGCUCCCCUGCCCUCGCCUGCCCAGGCACCUCGGUCUGCGCGGGGGCCUCUCUACACCUGUCACAGCACUCGUCGGGACCAGCUGCCUCCUGGUGGGCAUCUAGGUGCCCCUGCCCCUUGCUGUGAGCACAGCCAGAGCCCUGCACACACAGCGGCGCACUGGGCUCGGGCGGCUGCAGGAGGAGACCUGUAACCCAAAUAGCUUCUCUGUCUGUGCAUGUGGAUUUGUCAUAGUUAAUACCUGACUCUGCUCCAUCAAAGCGGCACCAGCUCACACCCCCCGGACAGUCAAGCCUUGGCCUCACCACCCUUGUCAGCGAGGCCUGAGGGGUGUCCCCGCCCAAAAAGCUUUCUCAGGACAGUUCUGUUGCAUUACUAUGCCUGGGAGCCAGGUCUGUCCCCCUUUCAAAGUUGGGAUCACGUGACUUCCCUCCUUGGGGACUGUCCCUGCCUUUGUCAUCUUUUCACUGGGUCUUGUCCUUGGUUUGUGGGCUGCUUUCUAGGAAAUGAGCCCUUUGUCACAUGGGCCACACGUUUCUUCUUCCAGUUUGCCCUUGUAUAUUUUUUGAUUUUGCCAAGAAAAAACGGCGUAAAAUUAUCCAAAGAAAUUUAUCAUUUGCCUCUUUUAUGACUUUGGGCGUCUGUGAGCCUCUCAACAGGCCUUCUCCACUCAGGAAUAUGGACAAAAUUGGCCUGUUUUUACAGGUUUUUUACAUUUCAGUCUGAGACAGCUGGAACUUAUUUGCUCUAGGUGUGAGAUAACAACUGUAUUUUUUCCAGCUGGUACCUCAAGUCAACACUACUGAACGAGCCCUCUCUCCCUAAAUACAUGGAAAACUGCCUUUUAUUCCAAAGUUCUAUUUUAUUUUUUGCCUUUUCUAGGGCUGCACCCACAGCAUGUGGAGGUUCCCAGGCUAGGGGUCUAAUCAGAGCUGUAGCUGCUGACCUACGCCAGAGCCACAGCAACGCGGGAUCCGAGCUGUGUCUGCCACCUACACCACAGCUCACAGCAACGCCGGAUCCUUCACCCACUGAGCAAGGCCAGGGAUCAAACCCACAACCUCCUGGUUCCCAGUCGGAUUUGUUAACCACUGAGCCACAAUGGGAACCCCCCAAAGUUCUAUUUUAAAAUUUACCUUAUCCACCUAAAGAGGUCCGUUCUGUGCCAUUCAGGUUGGACCCGCAGUGCGUGUCCCCCUCCAUCCUUCUCAAGCCUGGGUCUGCGGCCUGCGGGAUGCCUGGCUGAGCCCACGGCUCUUCCGCCCUUUCCCAGGCGCCGGGCUGCCAGGUGCAUCCACUUUUUCUAACCUUCACUUGAACUCAGGAAGUGAGGGCAUCGCCUCCCAGCCACACCGACCCCCCUGUGCGCUGGGGGUCUUUCCCUGGAGAGGAGCUAGGGCUCACCGUGUGCUGAGUUGAUGGGCCUGGCCACUCCCGGGCUACCCUCCACCCCACCGUCCCCGGAGACCACACUUCCACCCAGCCGCUCCCAGGGACACAACACACAGCUUGUUCAGAACUGAACUCAUUUCCUUCUGGACAACCUGCUCCUGGCGUUGUUCCUUCAAUACAUCAACCACCCAAGCCAGACCCCACGAGGACAGGCUGCCAGGCGGUCCUGAGUAGCUGCGUGGUCCACCCGCCUCAGCCUGGUCUGGGGGCAGCUACGCAAUCUGUUACUGCAGCAUGUGCGAGAGACUCACGGCCUCCUUAAAGCUGUUCCGCACCUCGAGGCUGCAGAAAGAGGGACAGACAACCAGCGACCCUCUAGAGCCCUGAGAUGGGUGGGGGGAGAGAGGGGAAGAGGCCAGAGCUAAGCAUCAAAGGGAGUGGCUGGGGGGGGCUUCAGCUGGGAGGCUGGGGGAGCGCAGGCUGCCGCUUCUUCUCUGCACACCCCACAGGGUGGACUUUCACGUGUGUUCCCCUCGCCCAACACGCAGCCAUCCUCUACUAAAUCCUGCAGCUUGUACUUCUUUAAGCAAUUUUGUCCCAGUUGCUCCUGGUCUCACAUUCUCCAGGGACCCUGGGUGCGCGUGUCCGGUACGUGUCCUGUGGUUACCCCUCAUCAGGGGCACCACGGCUGUGUGGCUUCCCUGAUGGAAAACGCCCUCGAGGGCAGACGCCAACCCUGCAGCGCUGCCAAGCCCAGCCCUGCGCCCUCUCCAGCGGUUGCCCGCAGGUGCGCACACACGCACCCCACACCCCACGCCUGGGGCCUUCACUCUCUUCUCCGCCCCUGGGCCACCCCGUCCCAGCUCUUCCUCUUCUCCAGGCUGUGGCAUGAGGGCUCCCAGCACCACCAGCCAGACCGUGACCCCCUGGGGCGACGACCUCAGCAGGGAUGGAGGAGAAGGGAACAGUGAUACGUAUGCUGAGGACACUCCAGCCACUCUGUCCCCAGUUUGCGUGCCGUUCCUUUCCUCCGAAAGGACCUCUUUACCAGCGACCUC
ensembl:lncRNA